rnacentral:rRNA from 1 species
CCUACGGGAGGCUGCAGUGAGGAAUAUUGGUCAAUGGACGAGAGUCUGAACCAGCCAAGUAGCGUGAAGGAUGACUGCCCUAUGGGUUGUAAACUUCUCUUAUAUGGGAAUAAAACGUUCCACGUGUGGGAUUUUGUAUGUACCAUAUGAAUAAGGAUCGGCUAACUCCGUGCCAGCAGCCGCGGUAAUACGGAGGAUCCGAGCGUUAUACGGAUUUAUUGGGUUUAAAGGGAGCGUAGGUGGAUUGUUAAGUCAGUUGUGAAAGUUUGCGGCUCAACCGUAAAAUUGCAGUUGAGACUGGCAGUCUUGAGUACAGUAGAGGUGGGCGGAAUUCGUGGUGUAGCGGUGAAAUGCUUAGAUAUCACGAAGAACUCCGAUUGCGAAGGCAGUUCACUGGACUGCAACUGACACUGAGGCUCGAAAGUGUGGGUAUCAAACAGGAUUAGAUACCCCAGUAGUC